CUCUGAGCAAGAGAAUGGAUG
rnacentral:misc_RNA from 1 species